ACAGACUCAUCUACAAUGUGUUACCUGACCCAUGGGAGUGAUCAUCCUUGACUUGGAGGGAUUGCUGAUGACAAUGGCAGAAGGUCUGGCACCUUCAGAAGCACUGGAUUCUCAUUACAAAAUAAGAGAGGAUUCUUAUGAUGCCAUGAUUCGUUAUUUUUCAUGGGAAUAUAUAGCAACAAUAAAAUCAAAGGGACACAAAAUCUGAGUGAAGAUCUUGCAACGCAGGACCUGAAGUAAAUAAUGAUUGGACCACAAGGUGAGAUUUUUAGAAGAGCAAUAGAACUGUUUUCUAUUUGAGGAGCAGGGACAGAGAAGAUUUUAAUUUUUGGUACCAAGAACUGUGGAAAUAUCUAGCCUGUAAUGUCAAUGUGCUUUGAAGAUUGAUGAUUCUGCAUCACUUUUUCCUGCUCCGACUUGUUUCACCACUACAAAAUGAACAUAUAAUACUGCUCUUCACACUUGGAAGCACUUUACACUUAUAUUGAACUGCUGGAAAUAUCUAUUCAAGAUGGAGGGCAGAAGUCACUUUAGCUAUGGAGAGGGAGAAGAUUUUUGCUGUUAUUCAAAUUCCAUUAGCACUACUGUCAUCUUAGCACUCUUCUGUCAUUUCCAUUCUACCAAGUAACAGUCAAAUCAGGCGCUCACUGUUAGGAACAUACCAUUUCUUUUAUUUACCCAGCAUGGAAUCAAAAUUUACUUUGUAUUUAUUCAAAGAAGAAAGAAUGAAACCUGAACCAUAUUACAUUAGUCACAUAUUGAAAUAAUAUUGGAACUCAUUGCCCAGUGCCAGGGGGGAAAAUUCCUAUCGAGCCAAGAAAACAAAAACCGUGUUUUUAGUCAAGCCUCCUUGUUAGCUUUGUUUCUCCAUCCUCUCUCUGAUUGCUUUGGUAACCUGCCUCCCAACCCAGCAAUUUAGCUGGUUUAUUUGCAUUUUGGAUGCACCAGAGCAACAUUUAUUUAAGAGAACAAUUUAGUUAGGUGUGUUGUAUGGCUUCAAGGGAGAGGACAUGUCUUUCUGUCACAGAAGAAAGAGCUGGCAUAAUUUCCAAAUAUGUAUGGGAAAUUCUGAGUCAUCCAAUGGGGGAUCUUGGGUGGGGCUUGGCAUUAAGCCAUAUGCCUCUUAUUCCAAAGAGUUAGUCUCUGUCUGUCCUAUGAGGGAUAUUUUGUAGAGAUGCCAUUGUGAUGAGUGGUCUAUAAUUCCUCCUGCCAAGCACAGGAGGGCUUCAAGGCCAAUAAUUA
rnacentral:lncRNA from 1 species